CCUACGGGGGGCUGCAGUGGGGAAUAUUGGACAAUGGGGGCAACCCUGAUCCAGCCAUGCCGCGUGUGUGAAGAAGGCCCUCGGGUUGUAAAGCACUUUCAGUGAGGAAGAACGCCUGGUGGUUAAUACCCAUCAGGAAAGACAUCACUCACAGAAGAAGCACCGGCUAACUCCGUGCCAGCAGCCGCGGUAAUACGGAGGGUGCGAGCGUUAAUCGGAAUUACUGGGCGUAAAGCGCGCGUAGGUGGCUUGAUAAGCCGGUUGUGAAAGCCCCGGGCUCAACCGGGGAACGGCAUCCGGAACUGUCAAGCUAGAGUGCAGGAGAGGAAGGUAGAAUUCCCGGUGUAGCGGUGAAAUGCGUAGAGAUCGGGAGGAAUACCAGUGGCGAAGGCGGCCUUCUGGACUGACACUGACACUGAGGUGCGAAAGCGUGGGUAGCAAACAGGAUUAGAUACCCGGGUAGUC
rnacentral:rRNA from 1 species